UGGGGAAUCUUGCGCAAUGGGCGAAAGCCUGACGCAGCAACGCCGCGUGGGGGAUGAAGCUUUUCGGAGUGUAAACCCCUUUCGACCCGGAAGAAUGCCCGCAAGGGUUUGACGGUACGGGUAUAAGAAGCCCCGGCUAACUACGUGCCAGCAGCCGCGGUAAAACGUAGGGGGCCAGCGUUGCUCGGAAUUACUGGGCGUAGAGGGUCUGUAGGCGGUGCGGCAAGUCGGAAGUGAAAUCCCAGGGCUUAACUCUGGGGCUGCUCCCGAAACUGCUGUGCUAGAGUGUGAGAUAGGCGAGUGGAAUUGCAGGUGUAGCGGUGAAAUGCGUAGAUAUCUGCAGGAACAUCCGAGGCGAAAGCGGCUCGCUGGAUCACAACUGACGCUGAGAGACGAAAGCUAGGGGAGCAAACAGGAUUAGAUACCCUGGUAGUCCUAGCCCUAAACGAUCAGGACUUGGCGUGAGCCCUGUACGGGGCUCGUGCCGAAGCUAACGCAUUAAGCAUCCCGCCUGGGGAGUACGGUCGCAAGAUUA
rnacentral:rRNA from 1 species